rnacentral:rRNA from 1 species
AUUGAACGCUGGCGGCAGGCCUAACACAUGCAAGUCGAACGAGUGGCGGACGGGUGAGUAAUGUCUGGGAAACUGCCCGAUGGAGGGGGAUCACUACUGGAAACGGUAGCUAAUACCGCCUACCAUCGGAUGUGCCCAGAUGGGAUUAGCUAGGAGGUGGGGUAACGGCUCACCUAGGCGACGAUCCCUAGCUGGUCUGAGAGGAUGACCGGCCAAACGGGAACUGAGACACGGUCCAGAGUCCAACGGGAGGCAGCAGUGGGGAAUAUUCGACAAUGGGCGCAAGCCUGAUGCAGCAAUGCCGCGUGUAUGAAGAAGGCCUUCGGGUUGUAAAGUACUUUCAGCGAGGAGGCGUUACCCGCAGAAGAAGCACCGGCUAACUACGUGCCAGCAGCCGCGGUAAUUC